AGCUGUUCCCCUCUGGAGGUUUUUUGACCUUCAUACCUAUUGGGCCCGAGAGCAAUCUCGAGGCCCAUUUUUUUGCCUGGU
rnacentral:misc_RNA from 1 species